GAUGAACGCUGGCGGCGUGCCUAAUACAUGCCAGUCGAGCGAACGGACGAGAAGCUUGCUUCUCUGAUGUUAGCGGCGGACGGGUGAGUAACACGUGGAUAACCUACCUAUAAGACUGGGAUAACUUCGGGAAACCGGAGCUAAUACCGGAUAAUAUUUUGAACCGCAUGGUUCAAAAGUGAAAGACGGUCUUGCUGUCACUUAUAGAUGGAUCCGCGCUGCAUUAGCUAGUUGGUAAGGUAACGGCUUACCAAGGCAACGAUGCAUAGCCGACCUGAGAGGGUGAUCGGCCACACUGGAACUGAGACACGGUCCAGACUCCUACGGGAGGCAGCAGUAGGGAAUCUUCCGCAAUGGGCGAAAGCCUGACGGAGCAACGCCGCGUGAGUGAUGAAGGUCUUCGGAUCGUAGAACUCUGUUAUUAGGGAAGAACAUAUGUGUAAGUAACUGUGCACAUCUUGACGGUACCUAAUCAGAAAGCCACGGCUAACUACGUG
rnacentral:rRNA from 1 species